rnacentral:rRNA from 1 species
UGGGGAAUAUUGCACAAUGGGCGCAAGCCUGAUGCAGCCAUGCCGCGUGUGUGAAGAAGGCCUUCGGGUUGUAAAGCACUUUCAGCGGGGAGGAAGGCGAUAAGGUUAAUAACCUCAUCGAUUGACGUUACCCGCAGAAGAAGCACCGGCUAACUCCGUGCCAGCAGCCGCGGUAAUACGGAGGGUGCAAGCGUUAAUCGGAAUUACUGGGCGUAAAGCGCACGCAGGCGGUCUGUCAAGUCGGAUGUGAAAUCCCCGGGCUUAACCUGGGAACUGCAUUCGAAACUGGCAGGCUAGAGUCUUGUAGAGGGGGGUAGAAUUCCAGGUGUAGCGGUGAAAUGCGUAGAGAUCUGGAGGAAUACCGGUGGCGAAGGCGGCCCCCUGGACAAAGACUGACGCUCAGGUGCGAAAGCGUGGGGAGCAAACAGG